GAUGAACGCUGGCGGCGUGCCUAAUACAUGCAAGUCGAGCGAACAGACGAGGAGCUUGCUCCUCUGACGUUAGCGGCGGACGGGUGAGUAACACGUGGAUAACCUACCUAUAAGACUGAGAUAACUUCGGGAAACCGGAGCUAAUACCGGAUAAUAUAUUGAACCGCAUGGUUCAAUAGUGAAAGACGGUUUUGCUGUCACUUAUAGAUGGAUCCGCGCCGCAUUAGCUAGUUGGUAAGGUAACGGCUUACCAAGGCGACGAUGCGUAGCCGACCUGAGAGGGUGAUCGGCCACACUGGAACUGAGACACGGUCCAGACUCCUACGGGAGGCAGCAGUAGGGAAUCUUCCGCAAUGGGCGAAAGCCUGAUGGAGCAACGCCGCGUGAGUGAUGAAGGUCUUCGGAUCGUAAAACUCUGUUAUUAGGGAAGAACAAAUGUGUAAGUAACUAUGCACGUCUUGACGGUACCUAAUCAGAAAGCCACGGCUAACUACGUG
rnacentral:rRNA from 1 species